GGUUGAUCCUGCCAGUAGUCAUAUGCUUGUCUCAAAGAUUAAGCCAUGCAUGUCUAAGUAUAAGUGACACUUUUACAUCGAAACUGCGAAUGGCUCAUUAAAUCAGUUAAAAUCUACAGUGUGGUACAUUUACCUACAUGGAUAACCGUGGUAAUUCUAGAGCUAAUACAUGCAUUAAGUCCCGACUUCUGGAAGGGAUGUAUUUAUUAGAUAAAAAACCAACCCGGGUUUACCCGGAGUUUCUUGGUGAAUCAUAAUAACUGUACGAAUCGUAUGACUUUAUGUCGACGAU
rnacentral:rRNA from 1 species